rnacentral:lncRNA from 1 species
AAUUAUGCUAGUCACUGCCAAUUAUAUAAGUAAUGAUUUGUUAUUUGCUAGCAAAAUCUCCCAAUAGUUUUAAAUUUUAGGAUCAAGUUUCCCGUACUGAGCUUUCAAGUGAGCUUCCCUCUCUUCUAAAUAUGCAGGUUCUGAUCAAAGUAAUUAUAUAAGUAAUGAUUUGUUAUUUGCUAGCAAAAUCUCCCAAUAGUUUUAAAUUUUAGGAUCAAGUUUCCCGUACUGAGCUUUCAAGUGAGCUUCCCUCUCUUCUAAAUAUGCAGGUUCUGAUCAAAGUAAUUAUAACUCAAUGACAGAUAACUCAACUCCGGAUCGAAACUCAAACCAAAUGUAGUGUGUGGACCAUGAUCACGAGGUUUACAGGAAGGGAAGUGCAGUGAAUCUGACAUGAUUUAAUUUGCAAACCCAAAAACCCUUUUUUUCUUUCACACUUUCCAGUAGCCGAGCACAGCUUUCUAUAUUGGGAUUUUUAUGAGUUAAGAUGGUAGAGAGAAGGGCAAGAUGCUGGGUCAUGCUCUUGC